rnacentral:lncRNA from 1 species
ACGUGAAAUGUUACAUACACAGCUGGACAAGAUGGAAACGGACACAGUGACAGUGCACACCAAGGAAGAGAGGCCACAGAUAGACAGAGCUGAAACUUCACUGCUUGACAUGUAUGAUGAAAUCCUGGUUGAGAAUGAAAUGACUGAACAAAUGAGCAACAAAACAGCACAGCAAGUGGACUCCAAUCAAGUUGUAGAAACAGCUCAAGGAUGAUCAAUGGAAACAGGAUGCACCAUGUAAAUAAGGAAAUCCAAAUGGCAGCCGUAUGAUUACAAUGGCCACCCUGGCUGACUGACAGGCUUCCAGACUGCCGCCAAAUCUUUGAAAUGUUCCUUAUAGUAUUUAGUAUUAGUGUACCAAGAUUGAUAGUUGUAUUAUAAAAUGCAUGACUAUUUCACCUACCGGUGGACUAAUCCAUGUAAUCUUAUUCAUGCACUAUAAGAUCAGCACUCAUACUCUGAGACGCUGCAAUUCAAAUGUAAAAUCUAGUUAUGAAUAUGAGGCAAAAGUACAGAAUGUCACCUUUAGCUGGACGUAGUUUUAUGCUUCUUUUCUUAAUUGAGCUUAGCCCCCCUUCCAUAAGUAGUUGGACAUCAGUUUAAAAUAAAUGUAUGUACUACAAAGGUUAGUAUUUGGUUGCAAAUCCCUUAUCAAAAGAACUGCACCAAGCCUGGCUGCAACCCAUUUACUUUACUGAGGGCUUGUGACGUAUAUGAUCAUCAUGUCAUGAUGUUAGAUCUCGUAGCAACACCUAGCUUCACAAAUCAUGAUGUUGAAAGAU